rfam:Triticum aestivum genome assembly, contig: Triticum_aestivum_CS42_TGACv1_scaffold_322206_4BL
AUUAUACUUCCUCCGUCCGGAAAUACUUGUCAUCAAAAUAAAUAAAAGGAGAUGUAUCUAGACGUACUUGUCAUCAAAAUGAAUAAAAGGAGAUGUAUCUAGACGUAUUCUAGUUCUAGAUACAUCCCUUUUUAUCCAUUUUGGUGACAAGUAUUUUCGGACGGAGGAAGUACAUG